GAGGAUUAUAAAGGUAUUUGAAGUGGACUACUUAUCAUUAUCGCCCUUGGUUUGGUAAGUUGUUUGCCAUCAUGCAGAAUAUUCUACUGGGAUUAUUUUUCCUUGCGAUUGGCAUUCAUCAGUGCCAUUCACAAAGUGAGUAUGAACAUACAGUUUAUCACUUUCCUUCAUAGAAACAUAGGGUAUCUAUUAGAUGCCUAGACAUGAGAUGAUGUCUAGUUAAUGUAAUAUGUGUACUUAUUUCUUAAAAUACAUAUAAUCUCUGUUUGGCACCAUUUUUUGUCUAGCUAACAAAAACAUAAAUGACAAUAAUAAUAACAACCAAACACAAGUGGUUCAGAUUACAGCACUCGCUGCUACCUGUGUCCUCCAAGGACCAGUUUAGAGCAGAAAAAUCU